AUGCUUACCUGGCAGGGGAGAUACCAUGAUCACGAAGGUGGUUUUCUCAGGGCGAGGCUCACCCAUUGCACUCCGGAUGUGCUGACCCAUGAGAUUUCCCCAAAUGUGGGAAACUUGACUGUAUAAUUUGUGGCAAUGGGGGACUGUGUUCAUGCUGUUCCCUA
rnacentral:snRNA from 1 species